CUGAUGCGUUGUUGGGUAGGGGAGCGUUCUGUAAGCCUGCGAAGGUGGCCUGUGAGGGUUGCUGGAGGUAUCAGAAGUGCGAAUGCUGACAUAAGUAACGAUAAAGCGGGUGAAAAGCCCGCUCGCCGGAAGACCAAGGGUUCCUGUCCAACGUUAAUCGGGGCAGGGUGAGUCGACCCCUAAGGCGAGGCCGAAAGGCGUAGUCGAUGGGAAACGGGUUAAUAUUCCCGUACUUGGUGUUACUGCGAAGGGGGGACGGAGAAGGCUAUGUUGGCCGGGCGACGGUUGUCCCGGUUUAAGCGUGUAGGUGUGUGUUCCAGGUAAAUCCGGUUCACUUUAACACUGAGGCGUGAUGACGAGGCACUACGGUGCUGAAGCAACAAAUGCCCUGCUUCCAGGAAAAGCCUCUAAGCAUCAGGUAACAUCAAAUCGUACCCCAAACCGACACAGGUGGUCAGGUAGAGAAUACCAAGGCGCUUGAGAGAACUCGGGUGAAGGAACUAGGCAAAAUGGUGCCGUAACUUCGGGAGAAGGCACGCUGACACGUAGGUGAAGUGAUUUACUCAUGGAGCUGAAGUCAGUCGAAGAUACCAGCUGGCUGCAACUGUUUAUUAAAAACACAGCACUGUGCAAACACGAAAGUGGACGUAUACGGUGUGACGCCUGCCCGGUGCCGGAAGGUUAAUUGAUGGGGUCAGCGCAAGCGAAGCUCCUGAUCGAAGCCCCGGUAAACGGCGGCCGUAACUAUAACGGUCCUAAGGUAGCGAAAUUCCUUGUCGGGUAAGUUCCGACCUGCACGAAUGGCGUAAUGAUGGCCAGGCUGUCUCCACCCGAGACUCAGUGAAAUUGAACUCGCUGUGAAGAUGCAGUGUACCCGCGGCAAGACGGAAAGACCCCGUGAACCUUUACUAUAGCUUGACACUGAACAUUGAGCCUUGAUGUGUAGGAUAGGUGGGAGGCUUUGAAGUGUGGACGCCAGUCUGCAUGGAGCCGACCUUGAAAUACCACCCUUUAAUGUUUGAUGUUCUAACGUGGACCCGUAAUCCGGGUUGCGGACAGUGUCUGGUGGGUAGUUUGACUGGGGCGGUCUCCUCCUAAAGAGUAACGGAGGAGCACGAAGGUUGGCUAAUCCUGGUCGGACAUCAGGAGGUUAGUGCAAUGGCAUAAGCCAGCUUGACUGCGAGCGUGACGGCGCGAGCAGGUGCGAAAGCAGGUCAUAGUGAUCCGGUGGUUCUGAAUGGAAGGGCCAUCGCUCAACGGAUAAAAGGUACUCCGGGGAUAACAGGCUGAUACCGCCCAAGAGUUCAUAUCGACGGCGGUGUUUGGCACCUCGAUGUCGGCUCAUCACAUCCUGGGGCUGAAGUAGGUCCCAAGGGUAUGGCUGUUCGCCAUUUAAAGUGGUACGCGAGCUGGGUUUAGAACGUCGUGAGACAGUUCGGUCCCUAUCUGCCGUGGGCGCUGGAGAACUGAGGGGGGCUGCUCCUAGUACGAGAGGACCGGAGUGGACGCAUCACUGGUGUUCGGGUUGUCAUGCCAAUGGCACUGCCCGGUAGCUAAAUGCGGAAGAGAUAAGUGCUGAAAGCAUCUAAGCACGAAACUUGCCCCGAGAUGAGUUCUCCCUGAGACUUAAAGUCUCCUGAAGGAACGUUGAAGACGACGACGUUGAU
rnacentral:rRNA from 1 species